AAACCUGAUAAACAGAGUCCUAAUGUUCAGGACAACUGGUGAAAAAUGAAAUCACAAGAUCAUUGGAACACAGCUUUGGAGCUAGCAGAUACAGGGUAGGCUAUCAAGUUGAAUCCCUUCUCUUUCCAGAUGAGAAAACUAAAACAUAAAGAGGUCAAAUACAUAAAAAAAGUAAAAUGUUACUAAAUUACUAAGUGCUUUUGAAGGAAUUUGAAGGAAACAUUUGGACCCAGAUCUUCAUAACCACAAUUUGUUAUCAAUUUCUGAUGAUUGAUACUUUUUGUUGAUUAGUCAUUUCAAUUGUGUCCAAUUCUUUGUGACCCUAUUUGUGGUUUUCUUGGCAAAGAUAUGGGAUGCCAUUUCCUUCUCCAACUCAUUUUACAAAUGAGAAAACUGAGGCAAACAGGGUUAGGAGAUUUGUCUAGGGUCACACUGCUAGUAAGUGAAUGAGACUGGAUUUGAACUCAGGGAGAUUAAUCUUCACCUCUCUAAGCCUGGUACUCUCUCCACUGUACCACCUAGAGGCCCAUUUGAUCCUAUACUGAAUACAUUUGUUCAUUAUUAUCUGUUGACUCAAUUAAAAAUAAGGAUUUACCAAAGAGCUUAAGAGCAUGAAGCCUGAAAUACUUCAGUGUUUUGACUGUGGUAUAAUUUCACAAUCUCUAAUUUCACAAUGCUGCUUCCUAGAAAACUGGUGAAAAGGAUAGAGUUGUAGAUGUAGAGUCAGAAGACUGAGGUUCAAAUUCUUCCUCUGAUUCUUCCCAGCUGUGUCUGGGAGAGUCAUGUAAUGGCAGUGAAGACAGAAUUAACUCUCUCCUGGCCUAUUUUUAGCUAAUUAAAUCAAGAAUUUAAAGCACCUCUACUUGACACUAAGUAAGAGAGUUGCAAGUCACUAACUAGAGUAAGUUCACACCUCCAAAGAUCACUACCUCCCCCCUUGGGCAGUGUUAGGCAAAUUGAAAGACUGCAAUUUCCAUAACGUGGGGGAGCAACAGGUAGUGACAGGAAGUGACAUGGAAAAAAGGAGGAUAAAAGAGGAAACUAGCAGGGUCUAGAGGCAUUCCUUUCCUGGCUUUUGGAGAGAUUAGUUCUGGAGAUUCCUGCCUCGGCUUUGGAGGAGGCUGCAUUGGUGGAACCCUGACUGAAGAAACCACUGGGACUUCAGGCUGAAGGUUACUAGGAAAUCCAGAUGGAGACAGAGUCUUGGGGAAGCCCUGCUGUGGCUGAGCUUGGCUUCUCAGGAAAAGGGCUGUUCUUUCUCUGGAGGUGGACAUACACAAGUUAUUCUUCAAAUAAUAUUUCUGUUGUAGUAUAUAAUGUUCUCUUUUUAAAAACGAUGAGGAAACUGAGAUCCAAGCAGUUACCUGACCUGUCCAAGUGAUCACACUAGCAUGUGGAAGAGGCAAAUUAAAACCUAGAGUGCAGGAGGAGCAGCCUGUGAAGACUUCUCCUGGAGGAAGGGGUAGAUGAGAAUCAUUUGUUCCAGUGGCCAUGAAGGUGGUGGAAACAGGCACUGUGGAAUGCUUGGAGCAUGGUUAAUCAUUGAAGACACCGAGGACAUUCCAAUGAAUCCUGGGACAGCUCUAGUUUUUGUCUUGCCACUGGACUUCGAUGACUGAAAGAAAGAGUGAAAUCGAUGAUUUUGUGCACUUUUGCCUCACUUAAAUCCAGUUCGCCAGUGAUGACAAUGAUCUUCUUCAAAAACAAAGCUCAAACAAGAACAAAAUAAUAAAAUUAUUAUAUUAA